rnacentral:rRNA from 1 species
UGCGUAGGCGGACUAAUAAGUCAGUGGUGAAAUCUUUCGGCUCAACCGAGAAACUGCCAUUGAUACUGUUAGUCUUGAGUUCGGUUGAGGUAGGCGGAAUGUGUAAUGUAGCGGUGAAAUGCUUAGAUAUUACACAGAACACCAAUUGCGUAGGCAGCUUACUAGACCGACACUGACGCUGAGGGACGAAAGCGUGGGGAGCGAACAGGAUUAGAUACCCUGGUAGUCC